UACGAGAGGCCCAACCGUUAUUCGGAAUUACUGGGCUUAAAGAGUUCGUAGGCGGCGCAGAAAGUAGGGUGUGAAAGCCCUCGGCUUAACCGAGGAAUUGCGCCCUAAACUACUGUGCUUGAGGAACCUAGAGGUGAGCAGAACAGAUGGUGGAGCGGUGAAAUGCGUUGAUAUCAUCUGGAAUACCGGAGGCGAAGGCGGCUCACUGGGGGUUUUCUGACGCUGAGGAACGAAAGCCAGGGUAGCGAACGGG
rnacentral:rRNA from 1 species